rnacentral:tRNA from 1 species
GGCAGGACAUUUUUGUUGUUAAGGAACUAGACUGGGACUCAGGAGGUCUAGGUUUAAUUCCUGGCUCUGCCA